rnacentral:rRNA from 1 species
CGGGUGAGUAACGCGUAGAAAUCUGCCCGGUAGUGGGGGAUAGCCCAGAGAAAUUUGGAUUAAUACCGCAUACGCCCUACGGGGGAAAGCAGGGGACCUUCGGGCCUUGCGCUAUCAGAUGAGUCUGCGUCGGAUUAGCUUGUUGGUGAGGUAAUGGCUCACCAAGGCGACGAUCCGUAGCUGGUCUGAGAGGAUGAUCAGCCACACUGGGACUGAGACACGGACCAG